AAUGUUGACUAAAUCCCUGCUUCUCUGUGCAGUUUUUGUCUGUGGAGCUCUAGCAUACAAAUACAUUAACAUAGGUUGCAUGCAAGAAGUGUCACACAGAUUAUUAACAGCAAAAGCUGGAAAGCUAAAAGUCAACAGUCCGUGGCAUUGCCAGGAGUUCUGCAAGGGGUAUCUCUACUUUGGAGUACAAUACGGAAAGGAAUGUUUCUGUGGCAACAACUUUUCAGGAAAUCUAGUGAAGGUUUUGAAGUGUAAUAUGAGAUGUGCUGGAAACACCCUCCUCUUCUGUGGUGGCAACAUGGCAAUGGAUAUAUAUGCCAGGGUUUCUUGAAAUGUUAAUUUCAAUAAAUACAUUAUAAACUUA